rnacentral:rRNA from 1 species
GCUUGCUCCUUGAUUCAACGGCGGACGGAUGAGUAAUGCCUAGGAAUCUGCCUGGUAGUGGGGGACAACGUUUCGAAAGGAACGCUAAUACCGCAUACGUCCUACGGGAGAAAGUGGGGGAUCUUCGGACCUCCCGCUAUCAAAUGAACCUAGGUCGGAUUAACUAGUUGGUGAGGUAAUGGCUCACCCAGGCGACGAUCCAUAACUGGUCUGAGAGGAUGAUCAAUCACACUGGAACUGAGACACGGUCCAGACUCCUACGGGAGGCAGCAGUGGGGAAUAUUGGACAAUGGGCGAAAGCCUGAUCCAGCCAUGCCGCGUGUGUGAAGAAGGUCUUCGGAUUGUAAAGCACUUUAAGUUGGGAGGAAGGGCAGUAAGUUAAUACCUUGCUGUUUUGACGUUACCGACAGAAUAAACACCGGCUAACUCUGUGCCAGCAGCCGCGGUAAUACAGAGGGUGCAAGCGUUAAUCGGAAUUACUGGGCGUAAAGCGCGCGUAGGUGGUUCGUUAAGUUGGAUGUGAAAGCCCCGGGCUCAACCUGGUAACUGCAUCCUAAACUGGUGAGCUACAAUACGGUAGAAGGUGGUGGAAUUUCCUGUGUAGCGGUGAUAUGCUUAGAUAUAAUAAGGAACACCACUGGCGAAGGCGACCACCUGGAGUGAUACUGACGCUGAUGUGCGACAGCGUGGGGAGCAAACAGGAUGAUAUACUCUGCUAGUCCACGCCGUAAACGAUGUCGACUAUCCGUUGGUAUCCCUCGAUGAUUGUAGUUGCCUGCAGCUAACGCAUUAAGUUGACCGCCUGGGGAGUACGGCCGCAAGGUUAAAACUCAAAUGAAUUGACGGGGGCCCGCACAAGCGGUGGAGCAUGUGGUUUAAUUUGAAGCAACGGGAAGAACCUUACCAGGCCUUGACAUGCAGAGAACUUUCCAGAGAUGGAUUGGUGCCUUCGGGAAAUUUGACACAGGUGCUGCAUGGCUGUUGUCAGCUCGUGUCGUGAGAUGUUGGGUUAAGUUCCGUAACGAGCGCCACCCUUGUCCUUAGUUACCAGCCCGUUAUGGUGGGCACUCUAAGGAGACUGCCGGUGACAAACCGGAGGAAGGUGGGGAUGACGUCAAGUCAUCAUGGCCCUUACGGCCUGGGCUACACACGUGCUACAAUGGUCGGUACAGAGGGUUGCCAAGUCGCGAGGGCGAGCUAAUCUCACAAAACCGAUCGUAGUCCGGAUCGCAGUCUGCAACUCGACUGCGUGAAGUCGGAAUCGCUAGUAAUCGCGAAUCAGAAUGUCGACGGUGAAUACGUUCCCGGGCCUUGUACACACCGCCCGUCACACCAAGGGGAGUGGGUUGCACCAGAAG